ACGGAAGGCAGCAGUGAGGAAUAUUGGUCAAUGGGCGGAAGCCUGAACCAGCCAAGUAGCGUGAGGGAUGACUGCCCUAUGGGUUGUAAACCUCUUUUGUUGGGGAAUAAAGUUAGCCACGUGUGGCUAUUUGUAUGUACCCUUCGAAUAAGCAUCGGCUAAUUCCGUGCCAGCAGCCGCGGUAAUACGGAAGAUGCGAGCGUUAUCCGGAUUUAUUGGGUUUAAAGGGAGCGUAGGCGGUCUGUUAAGUCAGCGGUUAAAUGUCAGUGCCCAACAUUGGCAUGCCGUUGAUACUGGCGGACUUGAAUACACACAAGGAAGGUGGAAUUCGUCGUGUAGCGGUGAAAUGCUUAGAUAUGACGAAGAACUCCGAUUGCGAAGGCAGCCUUCUGGGGUGCGAUUGACGCUGAGGCUCGAAAGCGCGGGUAUCAAACAGGAUUAGAUACCCUGGUA
rnacentral:rRNA from 1 species